UACGGAGGGUGCAAGCGUUGUCCGGAUUUAUUGGGCGUAAAGAGCGUGUAGGCGGCCAGACAGGUCCGUUGUGAAAACUCGAGGCUCAACCUCGAGAUGUCGAUGGAAACCGUCUGGCUAGAGUCCGGAAGAGGAGUGUGGAAUUCCUGGUGUAGCGGUGAAAUGCGCAGAUAUCAGGAAGAACACCUAUGGCGAAGGCAGCACUCUGGGACGGUACUGACGCUGAGACGCGAAAGCGUGGGGAGCGAACAGG
rnacentral:rRNA from 1 species